GUGCUGGCUUCGGCAGCACAUAUACUAAAACUGGAACUAUACAGAGCAGAUUAUCAUGGCGCCUGCGCAAGGAUGACAUGCAAAUUAAUGAAGCGUUUCAUAUUUUU